rnacentral:lncRNA from 1 species
ACAGGAGGCGCAUGCGCAGUUCGGCAUUUCUCGCCCACGAGCUCCUCCAAGUCCACGCGCGCUCUCAGCCUCAAGCACCUCGCACCUACUCUCAGGCAUUCCGGAACUCUAGGACUGUGCGGAGAGGGCCGGGCUAGUCCCCAGUCCGUCUUCCUGGGGCCAGCGGUUACCCUCUUCCACACCUGACACGAAGAAGGGAACGUUCUUGGUGCCAGGAAGAUACACCGGGGCCUCUGGGAGUCAAGCCUCCCAGGCAUCUCUCAGCAACAGAGGAUUCUUCCUCACGUGUCCCUGGACAGCAAGACUGAGGAGCUCACCUGAGAUAACAGAAUAUGGGGAGCUACCCCUGUCCGAGGUCAGGGGUGGCGGCCGAGAGGAACAACCCACAUUUAAGGAGCGGUGGCUGCGUGGGCGCAGAAGGGCCGAGAGGAGCUACCCCACAUUCAGGAGGGGUGACCUCGUCCAAGGAAAGAAGCAGUGGCUGCGCUUUGCUGGAGCAGCUGUGAAGAAACCCCAAGUCCAAGGUAAGAGAAACCCAAGUAAGGCGGUAGGUCUUGCGAGAGGGCAUCAGAGGGCAGACAACUGA